CGAACCUGCUGCUGUGCAGCGAGUGCGACCAGAGGAGCCGAACCUGCAGCGUCAGGCCCCAGACACCGAGUGCCUUGGCGGGACGUUACGUGGAGGAGCGCUUCCAGCAUGGCUGUAUCGAGAUGUGCUUUUAAACGAAACAGAGAGGAGACUGCGAAUUUCACUAUAUGAAAACUUUGGCGUCGAUCAUUCCGCAGAAACGUCCUCGCUUACAAGUCGUGCAAGAGUCGCUUUCGUUCGUUGGAUUUUAACGCUGAAAAGUUUCAUCGAGUAUAUCGUAUAUCGGACGACGACCAGAGAGAGAGAGAGAGAGAGAGAGAAAUAUUCAUGCUCCGAGAGUCCAGGAAUCUUAUCAAAAGUUUGCGUAUAACAAGAUCGACGACCGCUCGAGCGCGAGGACUCGGAGGACUCCCCGGCGUGCGCGCAGUGCGAAGCUCUGAGCGGUCCCCGGCAGCUGCAUCGGCGCUGCCCUCACUGCGAGCUCUCGG